AUACGUAGGUGGCAAGCGUUGUCCGGAAUUAUUGGGCGUAAAGCGCAUGUAGGCGGUGCCUUAAGUCUGUCGUGAAACUGCGGGGCCUAACCCCGUAUGGCGAUGGAAACUGGGGUACUUGAGUGCAGGAGAGGAAAGGGGAACUCCCAGUGUAGCGGUGAAAUGCGUAGAUAUUGGGAAGAACACCGGUGGCGAAGGCGCCUUUCUGGACUGUGUCUGACGCUGAGAUGCGAAAGCCAGGGUAGCGAACGGGAUUAGAUACCCCGGUAGUCCUGGCCGUAAACGAUGGGUACUAGGUGUGGGAGGUAUCGACCCCUUCCGUGCCGGAGUUAACGCAAUAAGUACCCCGCCUGGGGAGUACGGCCGCAAGGCUUAAACUCAAAGGAAUUGACGGGG
rnacentral:rRNA from 1 species